UUGUCAGUAUAUCCAUUGACGUGCCCUGGC
rnacentral:piRNA from 1 species